rnacentral:rRNA from 1 species
UGGGGAAUAUUGCACAAUGGGCGAAAGCCUGAUGCAGCGACGCCGCGUGAGGGAUGACGGCCUUCGGGUUGUAAACCUCUUUCGACAGGGACGAAGCGUAAGUGACGGUACCUGUAGAAGAAGCACCGGCCAACUACGUGCCAGCAGCCGCGGUAAUACGUAGGGUGCGAGCGUUGUCCGGAAUUACUGGGCGUAAAGAGCUUGUAGGCGGUUUGUCGCGUCGUCCGUGAAAACUUGGGGCUCAACCCCAAGCUUGCGGGCGAUACGGGCAGACUUGAGUACUGCAGGGGAGACUGGAAUUCCUGGUGUAGCGGUGAAAUGCGCAGAUAUCAGGAGGAACACCGGUGGCGAAGGCGGGUCUCUGGGCAGUAACUGACGCUGAGAAGCGAAAGCGUGGGUAGCGAACAGGAUUAGAUACCCUGGUAGUCCACGCCGUAAAACGGUGGGUACUAGGUGUGGGUUUCCUCCACGGGAUCCGUGCCGUAGCUAACGCAUUAAG